rnacentral:rRNA from 1 species
CAAAGGUAGCAUAAUCACUUGCCUAUUAAUUGUAGGCUAGAAUGAAGGGGUUAACGAAAUAAAAGCUGUCUCAAUUAGUCACCUAAAAAUUAUUCUCUAUUCGAAGAAAGAUAGAUACCCUCGAAGGACAAGAAGACCCUAUAGAGCUUUAUUUAUAUUAUAGAGUCUACUAUAAAACAAUUCGGUUGGGGCGACCCAGGGCUAAACAAUCACCCACUACACAAAAGAUACUUUAAUCUAAUAAAUGACCCUUUUAAGAUCACAAGACCAAGCUACCUUAGGGAUAACAGGCUAAUCCCAUUCAAGAGUCCUUAUCAACAAUGGGGAUUGGCACCUCGAUGUUGGCUUAGGGUAUCUAUAUAGCGCAAAAGUU